AUUGAACGCUGGCGGCAGGCCUAACACAUGCAAGUCGAACGAGUGGCGGACGGGUGAGUAAUGUCUGGGAAACUGCCUGAUGGAGGGGGAUAACUACUGGAAACGGUAGCUAAUACCGCAUACCAUCAGCUGUGCCCAGAUGGGAGUCGCUAAUUGGUGGGGUAACGGCUCACAAAGGCGAAGAUCCCUAGCUGGUCUGAGAGGAUGACCACCCACACGGGAACUGGGACCCGGUCCAGACUCCUACGGGAGGCAGCAGGGGGGAAGAGUGCAAAAUGGGCGCAAGCCUGAUGCAGCCAUGCCGCGUGUAUGAAGAAGGCCUUCGGGUUGUACAGUACUUUCAGCGGGGAGGCGUUACCCGCAGAAGAAGCACCGGCUAACUCCGUGCCAGCAGCCGCGGUAAUAC
rnacentral:rRNA from 1 species